GUUAGAAAUUUAUUUCAAUAGUGGAGGAGAUUAAAGCCACCCUUCUUUCAUUUUUAAAUAAAGUUGUUCUGUUUCCCCAGAAUAAAUAUUACUGUCUUGAUAUGAUUGCUGCUGCUGUUGUUGUUGUUGUUGUUGCUGAGUAGAAUCG
rnacentral:antisense_RNA from 1 species